rnacentral:rRNA from 1 species
GAUGAACGCUGGCGGCGUGCCUAAUACAUGCAAGUCGAGCGAACAGACGAGGAGCUUGCUCCUCUGACGUUAUCGGCGGUCGGGUGCGUCACUCGUGGAUAACCUACCUAUCCGACUGGGAUAACUUCGGGAAACCGUAGCUACUACCGGAUAAUAUAUUGCACCGCAUUGUUCCAUAGUUAAAGUCGGUUUUUCUUUCACUUAUAGCUUGAUCCGCCCCGCAUUAGCUAGUUGGUAAGGUAACGGCUUACCAAGGCAACGAUGCGUAGCCGACCUGAGCGGGUGAACGGCUAGACGGGAAGAGAGACAGGGCAGAGACACCGAGGGGAGGAAGCAGUAGGGAAUCCUACGCGAGGGACGAGAGGGUAACGGAGCAAAGCCGGGGGAGUGAUGAAGGUGUUAGGAUCGGAAAACUCUGUAAGUAGGGAAGAAGAAAUGUGUAAGUAACUAUGAACGUAAUGACGGUACCUAAUCAGAAAGCCACGGCUAACUACGUG